rnacentral:rRNA from 1 species
CAGCAGCCGCGGGAAUACGUAGGUCCCGAGCGUUGUCCGGAUUUAUUGGGCGUAAAGCGAGCGCAGGCGGUUAGAUAAGUCUGAAGUUAAAGGCUGUGGCUUAACCAUAGUACGCUUUGGAAACUGUUUAACUUGAGUGCAAGAGGGGAGAGUGGAAUUCCAUGUGUAGCGGUGAAAUGCGUAGAUAUAUGGAGGAACACCGGUGGCGAGAGCGGCUCUCUGGCUUGUAACUGACGCUGAGGCUCGAAAGCGUGGGGAGCAAACAGGAUUAGAUACCCCCGAGUCCCUGUCUCUUAUACAC